rnacentral:rRNA from 1 species
UACGUAGGGUGCAAGCGUUGUCCGGAAUUAUUGGGCGUAAAGAGCUCGUAGGCGGUUUGUCGCGUCGAAUGUGAAAACCCGGGGCUCAACCCCGGGCCUGCAUUCGAUACGGGCAGACUAGAGUUCGGUAGGGGGAGUCUGGAAUUCCUGGUGUAGCGGUGAAAUGCGCAGAUAUCAGGAGGAACACCGGUGGCGAAGGCGGGACUCUGGGCCGAUACUGACGCUGAGGAGCGAAAGCGUGGGGAGCGAACAGG